CCGGGGAAACCCGGAUUAAUACUCCAUAGUAUUAUGAAGAGGCAUCUCUUUAUAAUUAAAGAUUUAUCGGUACUGGAUGAGUAUGCGUCUGAUUAGCUAGUUGGUGAGGUAACGGCUCACCAAGGCAACGAUCAGUAGGGGUUCUGAGAGGAUGAUCCCCCACACUGGCACUGAGAUACGGGCCAGACUCCUACGGGAGGCAGCAG
rnacentral:rRNA from 1 species